GUCAGGACGGCCGAGCGGUUUAAGGCACCAGACACAAUGCGAUUUCUUAUCUCCAACUAGAGGUGUGUGUUCAAAUCCCACUCCUGACA
rnacentral:tRNA from 1 species